UACGGAGGGUGCGAGCGUUGUCCGGAAUCACUGGGCGUAAAGGGCGCGUAGGUGGCGCAGGAAGGCACCGGUGAAAGUUCGGGGCUCAACCCUGAAUCGGCCGUCGAUACUCCUGGGCUCGAGCACUGUAGAGGCAGAUGGAAUUCCGGGUGUAGUGGUGGAAUGCGUAGAGAUCCGGAAGAACACCGGUGGCGAAGGCGGUCUGCUGGGCAGUUGCUGACACUGAGGCGCGACAGCGUGGGGAGCAAACAGG
rnacentral:rRNA from 1 species